rnacentral:rRNA from 1 species
UACGUAGGAGGCGAGCGUUGUCCGGAGUUACUGGGCGUAAAGGGUGCGCAGGCGGCGGUUCGCGUGGAUAGGUGAAAUCUCCUGGCUUACCUGGGAGGAUGGUAUCCAGACGGGAUCGCUUGAGGGUCGGAGAGGGGCGUGGAAUUCCGGGUGGAGCGGUGAAAUGCGUAGAGAUCGGGAGGAACACCCGUGGCGAAGGCGGCCAGCUGGGCCGGACCUGACGCUGAGGCGCGAAGGCGUGGGGAG